rnacentral:sRNA from 1 species
UUCACUCAAAAUUCCAAAAAUCUUAAAACCUCAUUUCCUCCAGCCAAAAAAUCGCGAUCACCCUUCACCCGUGGAAAUUUUAUUCGGAAAAUUUGCAACGGAACUCCGCCGCUCUCAAUUCGAGAACUCCUCACUCUAACUCGGAAUUUCAAGGCGCAUUCAGACCUCCAACAAGUUUCUCAGGUUGGUUCGAAGGAAUUUUUUUUACCCAAAACAGCUAGGGUUUUCUGAACCUGAUACUCGCUCACCGGUAGAGCAGCUUUCUUCUCUCUUCUUCUCCAACAAUGGUUGCUAAUCCACAGGGCAUCAAGGCUAAAUAUGCCAAUUGACAAACUAUGGGCUAUCUACCCCAGGCAAUGGUGAACUACUCGGCACUGUUGGGUUGGGGCGACGGCACAGAAAAUGAAUUCUUCACCCUUGAGCAACUUGGUGGAUGAAUGGUCAACACUUAAGAGCACUUCCAUCUGAGCGGUUGACAAAGCUUAUUGAUGAGCAAUGGAAAAGCACAGGCGUCCUCACGGAAGCAGAGGGCCCAUUUAUUGAAUGUUUUCGGGCGAUUGGAGCUGACUAUGGAGAAGGUUUUGAGAGUUUUGGACAUGUUGGACCUCUCAAGGAAUUUUUGGAAGACAAAAGUCAAUAAGAUUUUCUUAAACGAAUACAAUAUGUCGUGAAACUGGAUGAAGCUUAUGGUCUUAUAUUCUCUUUUGACAAUGUUGUGACCAAACCAUUGAGAUAAUAACACUGCAUGUAACAUUCUUUCGAAGCAAUCCAUAUGUCGAUAUUGGUUUGAACUAAAAGAAACUAAGAAAGGAAUGAUGCACAGUCACAGUGAUAUAGAACACUUACAUUGCAGCUUCAACUAUACAAUUUUUGCCACCCCAAUUGAUCGACAGGUAGUGAGACAAAACUAAUCAAAGAGGCAAACGCACAAAAGUUGAUGAGGUGCUAUAAAAUUGCUGAAAAAGAUUUAUAGGGCCGGACUUUUUCCAGGACUUUUACUCUUAGUGCAAGUCCACCGGGGGUGGGAUAGGCCGGCACCCAAUGGAAAAAACAGGCUGAGACUCAGCCAAUCCACUCCAGCUCAUGGAAUUGACUGGCACCUAGCCCAAGCCAGUCCACAGGCCGGCCUAAAAUCCACAGACCUUGGGACCGGCUCAAGUGACACCUAGCUGACGCCAGCGUGGUGUCGGAAGGCAAGGAGCCACGAAGUCGAGAUAAACAGAUACGCUUUGGAAGUGGAAAGCUGAAAGCUAAUCUUUAUCGUCAUUAACAGCCGUCAAAAAAGGAGAAGCCGGAAUCGCCGAGCGAGAGGGUGGUGGCGGUUGGAGAUGUUGGGAUUGGCGGGAAAGGGAGGAGGGGGGUCGGAUGGAAGUGAAGGGAUGAAGAGAAAUGAUGUUUCUUGGGGAAAGAAGAGAGCGUGAAG